GAUCCUGCUCAGGAUGAACGCUAGCGACAGGCCUAACACAUGCAAGUCGAGGGGCAGCGAAGAGGUAGCAAUACCUUUGCCGGCGACCGGCGCACGGGUGAGUAACACGUAUGCAAUCCACCUGUAACAGGGGGGAUAACCCGGAGAAAUCCGGACUAAUACCCCAUAAUAUGGGCGCUCCGCAUGGAGAGCCCAUUAAAGAGAGCAAUUUUGGUUACAGACGAGCAUGCGCUCCA
rnacentral:rRNA from 1 species